rnacentral:tRNA from 1 species
GAGGGUGUAGCUCAGUGGUAGAGCACGUGCUCAGCAUGCACCAGGUCCUGGGUUCAAUCCCCAGGACCUCCA